rnacentral:rRNA from 1 species
UAGGGAAUCUUCGGCAAUGGGGGGAACCCUGACCGAGCAACGCCGCGUGAGUGAAGAAGGUUUUCGGAUCGUAAAGCUCUGUUGUUAAGGAAGAACGAGUGUGAGAAUGGAAAGUUCAUGCUGUGACGGUACUUAACCAGAAAGGGACGGCUAACUACGUGCCAGCAGCCGCGGUAAUACGUAGGUCCCGAGCGUUGUCCGGAUUUAUUGGGCGUAAAGCGAGCGCAGGCGGUUAGAAAAGUCUGAAGUGAAAGGCAGUGGCUCAACCAUUGUAGGGUUUGGAAACUGGUUAACUUGAGUGCAGAAGGGGGGGGGGGAAUUCCAUGUGUAGCGGUUAAAUGCGUAGGAAUAUGGAGGAACACCGGUGGCGAAAGCGGCUCUCUGGUCUGUAACUGACGCUGAGGCUCGAAAGCGUGGGGAGCGAACAAG